UGCAAGAUAGUUAGAUGUUUACCUUAAAUAGAAACUUAUUUCCUCAUCACAGCAGUGAAGUUGGGCUACAUCUUGGACUCUAAUCAGAUAUCUGUUUACUUCUGAUAGAAUCUAUGAAAUAAAAUAAAAUUAGAAACAUACAUACAUUUUUAGAAAAUAAAAGGCCCCACUACUGCAGAACCAUUUUGUAUCCCAGAAUAUGCAAGUGUUGAGUAGAACUCAGUUCAAUUAUAAAAAAGCCAAUGAUUUUGUUUAUAAAAUAGGCAUUCUUUAGAUAAAGACCACAGAAUUAACAAUGAAAACUUUAUUUUAGGGUGUUGUCUAAUUUCUUAAGCUACUGAAAUUGUUUUAUUUAUAAACAUUUUCUUAGCAUCAAAAAUAAAGUGGAAGUGGGGUGAAAAAGAAGUAAACUAUCAAGAAAAGGAAGGGAAUGAAUUGUUACAAUUUAAGAAGCCAGGCCUUUGCCCUGAUGUACGGUAGCCAUGGAGAUGGUCACUUGGUGUGAACAGUCAUCUAGAGAUGAGGUUCCAUGGACUCUGUGAGUUCCAAGAUUUUGAACUUUUUGUAUUUCAAUCAACUCCACUUCAUUUUCCCUACCAAAAUAUGCAGAUCUAAGUUACAACAAAAUAACUCCAUCUUGCUUCCCCAAUUUGACCAAGUAAAAAUAACAUCUCCAAUCAAUUAAUAAUUUAAUUCAAUAUAAUUCAUGUACCGAGCUCCUGUUAUAUGCCAAGCGCUAGAAGACAAGUAAAACGUAGCUCACACCUGAUAGAGUUCCCAGUCUGGUGAAUAAAGGAUUGUAAUAAAAUGUGACAGAUGUUCAAGGUCCUGCAGGAGACCCAGAAAGGGGCAAUUCCCAGCAGGAGAUGGUGGGAGCAACUACAGGAAGAUGAUGAUUGAACUGGAUUUGUAAAGGAUGAAUAGGAGUAUAUCCAGCAGGGUAGGAAAGAAGGUUAUUUUCAAGAAAGAGUAUGGGCAAAGCACAACUGUGUGAGGAGAGGCUAACAUUACUGGAGAAUCAUGAGUAGAUCUGUAUGGUUGGCUCAUAAAGUGGUAGGCAGGGCAGUAAAAGAAAAGAUAGAAUGGGACCAGGUGAUAUUCUGUAGGUAACAGCCAACAGAGGGCUUCUAAGAUUUUUCAGGUAUCCUCAGUGUGCAAGAUCCUAACCAGGUACUCUGCAUAGAGAAAUAUGAAGCAAUAGAAUACAUAGCCCUUUCCUCAGAGGGGGUCAUGAUCACAGUAGUACCACGAAAGGAGCUAAGGGAUGGGGUCAAGCCCACGUAGCAUCCUUGCAGAUAGAAGGAUGUGAAAUAUGAGGGUUUGGCAGCACCAGGCACACAGCAGGCAUUCAACAGAGGUUAGCUGAUUGGAUAUCUGAAUGUCUCCUGUUGCCAAUGAUAUGAGGUUUUAUCCAUGAGCAUGAGAUGUAGCAAGUACAUCAGAAUACGUACAGGGCACCCCCAGAUGAUUCUCUGUAUGUCUGACAGCUGAUCUUUCAUAUUGAUGUUUUGCUUCAUCUAGAAAACAAAGUGAUUUUAAGGGAAAUAAAAUUGUGAAAUGUGUAAACAUAAAUGGCACUUGAUACAGGGCUUGCUAUUUCCAUACAUUAUAAUAAGAAUCUAAUUUCAUAGACCCAGUGUUUUAAAACAAAGAGGCAAAUGACAAGACUGUAUUCAAAAAGCAUCUUCUGGGCAGAAUAUGUCAUCAGUUUACACUCAGCCUGGACCUGUGCAGGGUGCUCAUCACAAAAAUUGUUCAGAACGAUAGUACCACACUCAGAUGCUGACUUAGUUCAGGAAAUCUCAUACAUUAAGUUCUUUCAGCAAAAAAGGAUUUUACUUUUUUAUUUUAGUCCUCUAGAAAAAUCAAUCCAAAUACCCCAUUCUUCACACUUUCAUACUGAUAAAGCUUUUCUUGUACUUGUAUAGUUAUAUGAAAACAUUCUGUCUCAUGUUGCUUGGUUUAAAAUAGAUGCCUGUAGUGCUCCAAGUCUCUGAACACAACAAUUUCACAUGCAAAGGCUGAAGAAUUUGAGUGAGACUACCAAAAAAGCAUUGUGGCGUUUUUAAGGACACAGAUUCUUGUCAGCAACCAACCUGAUCUAUAUAACCUUUAUAUGUUUUCAUUUGGUCAAUUGCAGUGGUCAAGUCCCCACGGUCAGCAUGUUCUGCAGGAGUAUGAAGCCUCAGAGCAUAGAGAAGAUGAACAUACUCAUCAAAUCUUCGGGACGGGUACAGGAGCAGCUCCGGCAGGCUGUGUGGGGCACAGAGAAAGGAACCUGGUCUCUUUCCGAAGGUCAAAGAAGGCCCUGCCUUUGGGGUGCCUCAGCUGUGCUCUCCCUCAGAACUUACCUCAGCAUUUUGGUGACAAUGGUUUUAUCAUGCCUCUUCAGGAAAGCUCGGAAUGCUGGUACCAUCUCUCUGCACUAAAGGUUGAAUACAAAACCACCUGGCACUGACCUCCACUCCUAGUACCAGGGGUUUGAACUGAGGCAGAGAUCAGCCCCUGAGAAUCAUCACUACUGGUUGCAGCCCAGUGGCAAAAAUUCUCUCUCUUCUGUGCAAUAAUCAGGGUCCCCAGGAGAGGCAGAGACUGCCUGAGCCUCGGUCCAGGACAGAGCUACUACAGGUGUUCCUGAUUUAAUAUGAAUGAUCCAAUAAAGACAGCGGAUUGAGGCUACACAAGAAGAUUGAAGCAUGGAAGUGAAGUCAGAAGGUGAAAGGCGGUGGGAUACAGAGUCUAAGUGGAGUAGUCAAACUUUGAUAUGAACAGGGGUGCUUCUUCCAUCAUCAACAGAAGGGAAGACAGAGAAUGAAGAGUGAGAGACCAUCAUCAAGGCAAGAAUCUUUUCUUCAGUGGAAACCCAAUGGCCACAGAGUACUACACGCAUUACUUCCUCAACCGACUCUCCACCAGGUGCUUGCAAUUGGAACGCAGAGCUCCUUAGCGAAGUCAUUCAUCUGCAGGAAACUGACCACCCUGGCAAGUGCCAUUGUUGCAGCCUAACGCAGCUCUACCAUGCAAGCACUGUUUUAUAGCGCUUGUGAAUCUGCUUGCGAAAGCCCCGCUCUGUGAAUAAGGAAGGAGAUCCCAGACCCUUCACCUCUGAUUUACACUUCUCAGAGGGACCUGAUCCAUACCAGCUAUGUCAAUGGAAAUAGACAAAUUGCUUAUGAUGAGACUAGUGCUUGUUACUUCUGAGACCUGCAAACUUCUGUCAAAGGGACGAAACGAGGAGUGUGGUGUUACGUUGCCCUUCACCACAGCACCAGAGAAGCCCUGAGCAGGAAGCAGGUGUGUGCGGCCCACUCUUGAGUGAGAUGCUGGUGAGAGAAAAAGGGUCGGGGCCUAUGUGGAAUCACAGUGAGAGGUGAGGACAGGAGAUGUACGCAAAAGGCUUCCAGUGCAUAUAUUGGGAUAGCUCAUGAGACUCAAGGGUAACAAUGCUGCCGGUAUCAAAAGUAUCUGGAGUCAAGAACUCAAA